UACGGAGGGUGCAAACGUUGCUCGGAAUCAUUGGGCGUAAAGCGCACGUAGGCGGUCCCAUAAGUCGGGUGUGAAAGCCCUCGGCUUAACCGAGGAAGUGCAUUCGAAACUGCGGGACUUGAGUACCGGAGAGGGUGACGGAAUUCCCGGUGUAGAGGUGAAAUUCGUAGAUAUCGGGAGGAACACCAGUGGCGAAGGCGGCCCCCUGGGCCGGCCCUGACACUGAGACGCGAAGGCGUGGGGAGCGAACGGG
rnacentral:rRNA from 1 species